rnacentral:rRNA from 1 species
AGCGAACGUUAGCGGCGCGCCUAACACAUGCAAGUCGCACGAGAAAGGGGGCAACCCCCGGUACAGUGGCGCACGGGUGAGUAACACGUAGAUGACCUUCCCUGGAGUGGUGGAUAACCUGCCGAAAGGCGGGCUAAUACAGCAUGGGACCACAUGGUUUUGACCGAGUGGUGAAAGCGGGCCUCUGUACACAAGCUCGCGCUCUGGGAUGGGUCUGCGUCCCAUCAGCUAGUUGGUGAGGUAACGGCUCACCAAGGCAACGACGGGUAGCUGGUCUGGGAGGAUGACCAGCCACACUGGAACUGAGACACGGUCCAGACUCCUACGGGAGGCAGCAGUGGGGAAUCUUGCGCAAUGGGCGAAAGCCUGACGCAGCGACGCCGCGUGGGUGAUGAAGGCCCUCGGGUUGUAAAGCCCUGUGGGGAGGAACGAACCGCUCGGGGGUGAACAUCCUUCGGGCUUGACGGUACCUCCUUAGCAAGCAUCGGCUAACUCUGUGCCAGCCGCCGCGGUAACAC